GGGAAAUGAUCUAUACACAAAAGCCUCACAACUCUCGCACAACAGUCUUACGUGGCAAGAAUAUUUUAUUGUUUUUUUUUGUUUUUUGGUUCAUGCGGCUAGAAAACACUGGAGAGGGGGAAAAUCAAAUUUCCCCGCACCACUGCCACUGCCCAGUCCCUAUCUCUCUCUCAAAUUUCUGUCCGUACAGCUCGCCCAUCGCCCGUCGCCGGUCGCCCGUCGUCCGUCGUCCGUGUCUUCCCCCUCCGGCAGGCAGAUCCUCUCCAGCUCUCUCUCUCUCUUCGGCGUAUUUCCUCUCUCCGGCGCUUCCCACUCCGCCAGAGACGGUCGUCCGUCGUCUUCCCCCUCCGGCAGAUCCUCUCCAGCUCUCUCUCUCUCCGGCGCUUCCCGCUCCGCCAGAUUCGGUCGUCCGUCGUCUUCCCCCUCCGGCAGAUCCUCUCCAGCUCUCUCUCUCUCUCUCCGGCGGUUUUCCUCUCUUCGCCGUUCUCUCUCGGCGUCCGGCGUCCUCUGUCGUCCGGCAGAUCUCGUCCCAGUCCAGCUCUGUCUCCGGCAGAUCUUCUCUCCGGCGGGCAGAGGUGCAAGCAUUUUGAAAUUGGUGGAGAUAGGAAGGGUCCUUACAACCCAAGCUUGCUGGAGUGGAUUUGGAAGCAGAGAAAAAGUAGCAUGUUGGGAAGACAGUCAAAAGAUAGCCUCGCAGUGAUCUUGUUGUGGGGCAUGUGCAGAAUCCGUGAAUUUUGAAAUUUAUUACAACCAAUGUUAUCAUUCAGCAUUUUUUUUUUUUUUUUUUGGGGUACCACGGGGGCAUGAGCUCAAUUACAUACAAAUGGUUUGGUGAAUAUGUUGCAGUUUAUAGGUGCUUUAUAUUCAUUUGUGAGUAUAGUAGGAAAUUAUGUAAAUCCUUUUGAGAAAGUACUUGUAAAAACGUUCACAUGUGAAUUCCUAUAAAAGAAACUAUAGUUUUACAGUAUA